GGGCUUGUGGUUUAGUGGUAUAAUACUCCCUUAGCAUCUACGGUCUCUGAGAUCCGUGUGCGGCUUGGGAGUGGUCCGGGGUUCGAUUCCCCGCGAGUCCA